UUUUUGUAAUUAAUAUAAAGUCUAAUCUGCCCACUGAUAAUUUAUUAAAGGGCUGCAGUAUUUUGACUGUACAAAGGUAGCAUAAUCAUUUGUCUCUUAAUUGGUGACUUGUAUGAAAGAUUGAAUGAAAUAUAAGCUGUCUCUUUAUAAAAAAUAAAAUUUAAUUUUUUAGUAAAAAAGCUAAAAUAAUUUUAAAAGACGAGAAGACCCUAUAGAGUUUAAUAGUUUUUUUUUAUAUAAAUAAAAUGUAAAAAUUUAAAUUUAAAUUAAAAUAAUUAUUUUGUUGGGGUGAUAGAAAAAUUAAAUUAACUUUUUUUAAAAAUAAACAUAAAUAAGUGAUUAAAUGAUCCAUUAGUAAUGAUUAUAAGAAAAAAUUACCUUAGGGAUAACAGCGUAAUUUUUUUUUUUAGGCCAAAUAAAAAAAAGAGUUUGCGACCUCGAUGUUGGAUUAAGAUAAAAUUUAAAUGUAAAAGUUUAAAGUUUUGAUCUGUUCGAUCAUUAAAA
rnacentral:rRNA from 1 species